GGAGGGAUGGCUGAGCGGUUGAAGGCGACGGUCUUGAAAACCGUUGUCCCUUUACGGGGACCGUGGGUUCAAAUCCCACUCCCUCCG
rnacentral:tRNA from 5 species